rnacentral:rRNA from 1 species
UACGUAGGGUCCGAGCGUUUGUCCGGAAUUAUUGGGCGUAAAGGGCUCGUAGGCGGUUUGUCGCGUCGGGGAGUGAAAAACGCCGGGCUUAACCCGGUGCUUGCUUUCGAUACGGGCAGACUGGAGGUAUGCAGGGGGAGAACGGAAUUCCUGGUGUAGCGGUGAAAUGCGCAGAUAUCAGGAGGAACACCGGUGGCGAAGGCGGCCUUCUGGACAGUGACUGACGCUGAGACGCGAAAAGCGUGGGGGAGCAAACAGG